rnacentral:rRNA from 1 species
UGGGGAAUAUUGCACAAUGGGCGCAAGCCUGAUGCAGCCAUGCCGCGUGUAUGAAGAAGGCCUUCGGGUUGUAAAGUACUUUCAGUCGGGAGGAAGGUGGUAAGGUUAAUAACCUUAUCAAUUGACGUUACCGACAGAAGAAGCACCGGCUAACUCCGUGCCAGCAGCCGCGGUAAUACGGAGGGUGCAAGCGUUAAUCGGAAUUACUGGGCGUAAAGCGCACGCAGGCGGUUGAUUGAGUCAGAUGUGAAAUCCCCGGGCUUAACCUGGGAACUGCAUUCGAAACUGGCAGGCUAGAGUCUUGUAGAGGGGGGUAGAAUUCCAGGUGUAGCGGUGAAAUGCGUAGAGAUCUGGAGGAAUACCGGUGGCGAAGGCGGCCCCCUGGACAAAGACUGACGCUCAGGUGCGAAAGCGUGGGGAGCAAACAGG